rnacentral:rRNA from 1 species
GACGAACCGAGCGAACGUUGUUCGGAAUCACUGGGCUUAAAGGGCGCGUAGGCGGGCCGCCAAGUCAGGGGUGAAAGCCUCCAGCUUAACUGGAGAAGUGCCUCUGAUACUGGCGGCCUCGAGGGAGAUAGGGGCGUGCGGAACUUCCGGUGGAGCGGUGAAAUGCGUAGAUAUCGGAAGGAACACCGGUGGCGAAAGCGGCGCGCUGGAUCUCUUCUGACGCUGAGGCGCGAAAGCCAGGGGAGCGAACGGG